rnacentral:rRNA from 1 species
GCGGUGUUUUAGUCUUUUCAGAGGAAUUUGUCUCGUGAUCGAUAGUCCUCGUUUUAUUCUUUCUUGAUUUUGUUAUUUUCAGUAUGUAUACCGCCGUUAUAAGUUUAUUUUAUAAGAAUUUUAUUUACUAUUUUUUCAAUUAAAAUUUAUUUCAGGUCAAGGYGCAGCUAAUAAUUAAGUGUUGAUGAGUUACAAUUUUUUUUUUGAAAAUAACGUAUUUGAAGUUGAAAUAUUUUAAUUAAGGKGGAUUUGUUAGUAAUUUUAUUUAUGUUGGUUUUUUGAUUUUAGCUCUAAGAUAAGUACACAUCG